CACAACCCUAGCUCAACCAACCCAACUAAAAUACCAUAACCCUUUAAACCAAACCAUUUGCCAAAACUAGUAAAUGCGAUUAAACCUUAACAACUGACGCUAUAGCACACAGUACCGCAAGGGAAAGAUGAAAUAACAAUUUUAUAUCUGACGCUAAAAAAAGCAGAGAUAAAACCACGUACCUCUCGCAUCAKGGAUUAGCCAGCAACCCAAAACAAAAAGCCAUUACCCAGCCUUCCUUCCCGAAAUCAAGUGAGCUACUCCAGGGCAGCUAAUCGAGCCAACCCAUCUCUGUAGCAAAAGAGUGGGAUAACCUUAGAGUAGAGGCGAAAAACCUAACGAACUUGAUGAUAGCUGGUCGCCUGUCACCCAUAAACGAAUCUUAGUUCAACUUCAAGCUGUCACACAAACACUAGUACACCAUUACGCUUGAAAGAUAUUCAACGGGGGUACAGCCCCGUUGAACUAGACUACAAACUACCAAGGAGAACUAACAACAACCACCACCAGUAGGCCUUAAAGCAGCCACCAAUAACUCAAAGCGUCACAGCCACCACACCAAAAAUACCUAAAAAAAUAACCAAACCCUUCAACUCACCAGGCCAUUCUAUUAAAUAGAAGAACUAAUGCUAAUAUUAGUAACAAGAAUAUAUUCUCUAAGCACACCUUUAAGCCAGCAAUAGAACCCCCACUGACAAUUACUCAAACCACUACAAGGCACAACUCCAACAACACCAAACCUACAGUACAACCUUUUGUUAACCCAACACAGGAAUGCAACCAGGAAAGAUUAAAAGUUAAAGAAGGAACUCAGCAACAACCCACCAAGACCCCAACUGUUUACCAAAAACAUAGCCUCUAGCAUAAAAUAUUAGAGGUCCCGCCUGCCCAGUGACACCAACCCGUUAAACGGCCGCGGUAUA
rnacentral:rRNA from 1 species